rfam:Rattus norvegicus chromosome 10, whole genome shotgun sequence.
GGGGAUUUAGCUCAGUGGUAGAGCACUUGCCUAGCAAGCGCAAGGCCCUGGGUUCGGUCCCCAGUUCCG